rnacentral:rRNA from 1 species
AUUGAACGCUGGCGGCAGGCUUAACACAUGCAAGUCGAACGGUAACAUAAAGAAGCUUGCUUCUUUGAUGACGAGUGGCGGACGGGUGAGUAAUGCUUGGGAAUCUAGCUUAUGGAGGGGGAUAACUACGGGAAACUGUAGCUAAUACCGCGUAAUAUCGAAAGAUUAAAGUGUGGGACCUUCGGGCCACAUGCCAUAGGAUGAGCCUGCGUUAGAUUAGCUAGUUGGUAGGGUAAAGGCCUACCAAGGCGACGAUCUAUAGCUGGUCUGAGAGGACGAUCAGCCACACUGGGACUGAGACACGGCCCAGACUCCUACGGGAGGCAGCAGUGGGGAAUAUUGGACAAUGGGCGCAAGCCUGAUCCAGCAAUACCGCGUGUGUGAAGAAGGCCUUAGGGUUGUAAAGCACUUUCAAUUGGGAGGAAAACCUAGUCGGUCAAUACCCGGCAGCUUGACAUUACCUUUAGAAGAAGCACCGGCUAACUCCGUGCCAGCAGCCGCGGUAU